rnacentral:rRNA from 1 species
AGAACGAACGCUGGCGGCAGGCUUAACACAUGCAAGUCGAGCGCCUCGGCAACGGGGAGCGGCAGACGGGUGAGUAACGCGUGGGAACAUACCCUCCGGUUCGGAAUAACUCAGGGAAACUUGAGCUAAAUACCGGAUACGGCAACCAAGAGAGAUUUUGGCGGCGAAAGAUUUAUCGCCGGAGGAUUGGCCCGCGUCCGAUUAGCUAGUUGGUGUGGUAAUGGCGCACCAAGGCGACGAUCGGUAGCUGGUCUGAGAGGAUGAUCAGCCACAUUGGGACUGAGACACGGCCCAAACUCCUACGGGAGGCAGCAGUGGGGAAUAUUGGACAAUGGGCGCAAGCCUGAUCCAGCCAUGCCGCGUGAGUGAUGAAGGCCUUAGGGUUGUAAAGCUCUUUCACCCACGACGAUAAUGACGGUAGUGGGAGAAGAAGCCCCGGCUAACUCGUGCCAGCAGCCGC